GCUGAGCCCUGGCCUUGCCCCAGGCCAACCCUUGGCUGUCUGCAACCCAGAUCCUUUCUGCAGCCCCUUCCUCAGUCCAAACAGGGGCCCUCAGGAAACACAGCCUCCGCCCACCACCUGGGCCCUGCUGACAUCUUGAUCUUGAACCUGCUCCCAGACUAGAAGACCAGACUAGUCUUCUGGUUCUGCACACUCCCACUAGGGCUAUGCCCUGGGGAUCAAGCAGAAAGGAGGGAAGGUUCUGGAAAACUAAGCCCUGCUUUUGGGGGCAGUGCCAGCACACUUGGACUCUUCCCAGAGAGACUUGAGGAAAGAGGAAGGAAGAACUUGCUGUUGGCGAGAAAGGAGCAAGGCGGCCGGAAGAGACCCAGCUGGUUGGGGAUUCUUGCCGGAGGCCGGCACAGACAAGAUGGGGCUGGCUGGUGUGUCUCUGAGGUCCUGUCUGCAAUGGGAGACAUGACACCCACCUCUAGGGAACUGACCAGAAGGACCUGCGUUAACUCCCAGCCAAGGAUUUGGGCUUCGUCAGGACUGCAGCCGUGGGCCCGCAAAGGGUGGGGGCCAGACACAUGGUAUCUGUUGUAGGCUGUGCCGGAAUUUGUCACCAAAUCAACACCUGGCAAAACUAGGAUGCCUUCAUGCGUUUCACAUUUAAUAAAUAUAAAGAAAG
rnacentral:lncRNA from 1 species